AAUGGGGUAGAAAACGGAGUGGGAUUGAUUGUGGGGAAAACUCCAUAGUUAAACACACUUGAGCCAGGGAAGUCUUGGGAUGGGUGACCUUUUGAGAAUUCCUGGUUACCAGGUGC
rfam:Picea glauca, whole genome shotgun sequence.